CGCAGCCGCGGUAAUUCCAGCUCCAAUAGCGUAUAUUAAAGUUGUUGCAGUUAAAAAGCUCGUAGUUGAAUUUCGGGAUCAAUUAGUCGGUCGUGCCUCUGGUACGUACUGGUUUUAUUGGUUCCUCCCUUCUGACGAAACAUGAUGUCAUUAAUUUGGUGUCGUGGAGAAUCAGGACUGUUACCUUGAAAAAAUUAGAGUGUUUAUAGCAGGCUAACGCUUGAAUACAUUAGCAUGGAAUAAUGAAAUAGGACGUUCGACCCUAUUUUGUUGGUUUCUAGGAUCGACGUAAUGAUUAAUAGGGAUAGUUGGGGGCAUUAGUAUUCAAUUGUCAGAGGUGAAAUUCUUGGAUUUAUUGAAGACUAACUACUGCGAAAGCAUUUGCCAAGGAUGUUUUCAUUAAUCAAGAACGAAAGUUAGGGGAUCGAAGACGAUCAGAUACCGUCGUAGUCUUAACCAUAAACUAUGCCGACUAGGGAUCGGAUGAUGUUAAUUUUUAAUGACUCAUUCGGCGCCUUAC
rnacentral:rRNA from 1 species